UUCCCUUUGAGCUUGCACAAGUUGCUUAUGCUCUCAGUUUUCUCUUGGGAAAAGUGGGAAUAAUUGUCCGACUUCAUUCCCGGGAUGUUUGCAAGGAUUCAACGCGUGCUCGCGAGUCGCGUGCGUGGCACAGUGCCUGGCCUACGGCAGAGCCUCGGUAACCAUCGGCUCCUUCCCCUUGCGGAGGGGCUUCCUCCCCACACCUGCCUGGAGCUGACCUGGGGAGAGCGCGCGCUCUGAGACGGGAACUUCGGGACAGAGGGAGUGCUCCUGAGGACAAAUCCUGUUUAAAACCACACCUGUGACUGCAUUAACCGAGAGAGUGCCUCUCCACGCUUCAUUUGCCUUUUAAAUGAAGAGUGGGAUGGGCUGUGAGUGGG
rnacentral:lncRNA from 1 species